GUGUGGACUUCCUGUAAACACGGACCUACCGAUAACCCUUCACCAGUCUUAAACCAGCUGCAGUGAAAAGGCACCAAGUGAUGAGGAAGAUGGCUUUGUCAAUAGAAAGAACUUCCACUCCAUUAACACUCAGGUGAUCUGUGAUGCAACACUAAGGGUUACUGAACUUGUGGCAAGGUGGCCAGGUAGUACCCACGACUCCUUCAUAUUGAUGAAUUCGGGAACAGGCAUAAAAUUGAAUGAAGGAGAAAUGCCAGAUGGAUGGUUGUUAGGUGAUAGUGGCUACGCUCUACGACCAUGGCUGAUAACUCCAAUCCUCCACCCAACAACAGAGCCUGAACAGCGCUACAGCCGUGCACAACGCAAAACAAGAAGUGUUGUGGAGAGGUGCAUUGGGGUUGUCAAAUCCAGAUUUCGAUGCAUUGACUGCUCUGGUCGAGUGCUCCAAUACACCCCUGAAAAGGGGUGUAAAAUCAUGACCUGUGCCUUCAUCCUGCACAACAUCUGCAUGAUGUACCGGCUGCCUCUUCCGGAUGUUCCAGACCACCAUGAACCAGAGGGAGAUGGCCCCGUCCCCGCUCCAUGUAAUACCGGCAUUCAAGGGAGACAAGAGCUUGUAAGGAGGAGUUUCAUGUAAAUAAAUAAAUAAUAAACGACACCUGAAAAUC